rnacentral:lncRNA from 1 species
GGGGCAUCUAGCUGGCUUUUCCUAAUAACUCACACAGUCGUCCUCAUCUUGUUUAAGUAUGGCUUACUUCUCUGAGGGUCUUUGAUCCCCUGACUGCAGACACUCUGGCACCAGGGAGCCUUAAAGGUCAAGGAGUGAAGAUACACACAGAGGUUUGGAUGUGGUCUGUUUGCCAAGAGUUCACAUGCCAGGGGCUUGGUCUCCAGUGUGGAAGGCUAAAAGAUUGUAGAGUCUUAAGAAAUGGACUAACAUGCAUGGUUACUACAAGAAAGGUCAUUUGAUUUCAUGGGGCUCUUGGGGCCAUCACAGAGUCUCAGGAGAGUAUUUCCAGAAGGAUGUAACUGAAGAAGGAAGACACACCCGAAAAAUGGAAACGUAUCUCUCGGUGUGCCUAUCAGGGUAUUUCCCCCGAAAGCUUUGAUGGAAGAAGAAAG